GGAUGCGAUCAUACCAGCACUAAAGCACCGGAUCCCAUCAGAACUUUGAAGUUAAGCGUGCUUGGGCGAGAGUAGUACUAGGAUGGGUGACCUCCUGGGAAGUCCUCGUGUUGCGUUCC
rnacentral:rRNA from 1 species